CAGUAAGCUGGUGACUGAGAGACAACAGUGGAUCGUGGAUAAAUGGGGGUUUGUGCAGAACCACAUAGUUUGAGUGGAGAGGAAGGAGAGCACCAAGAAGUUUAUCAAGGAUUAAUGCCUGUGCAUUAUCUCUAGUGAUGAUGAGCCGGAUCCUCUUGAGGGACCCUCUGGGUCCAGCACUGUGGCCAAACAGCAAGCGGAAGCCGGCCCGCACAACUGCGCCUGAAUGAGAAGAGGCUGGAGAGCAAAGUCAGUGGGAGAUGUUCGCAGAUAACAGGCGAAGACAACGGCAGACGUCAUGUCACACCCAAGGACGGUACACAAGAGGACCGUUUAUGC